CCGGCCUCCGCGGGCCGCCGCGCUGAGGGACCCUUCCAGCAGCCAAUCGGAGCGCGCGUCUCGAGCCCAAGGGGCGGGGCCGCCCGGCGCCCCCGCGCUGGAGGUCACGGCGCGGCGGGGCGCGGCCAUGGCCCGGCGCGCCGCGGGGGAGGUUCUCCGCUUGUCGCCCGAGAGGCCCGGGAAGAUCUCCCCCCAGAGGCGGCCCCGGCCCGGGAGGCGCUCAUCUCCGCCUGGACCGCUUCGUCCUGCAUCCCUUUCUCUUCCUGUUACCCUGGGGUCCCCUGGGUCCCUGCCUGCCUCUUCGCGCUCCGAAAGCCGAGUUUCGCAGAUACUCAGCUCGGAGGAGGACGUUCUGCCGGGAAGUAGGUGCUUUCUUGUUAAGCGGCGGUCGAUCGAUGGGAGGGGCCAGAAGUCGCUAGGUGUCCGGACAAGAUUGUCACUGUCGCUGAGAUCGUCAGCUCUAGUGCUUGGAGGCGGGUGACUUCCUGCAAGCUUAGAACUUUGGGAUUACUUCCGAGCUUGAAGGCCCGGUGUGCAUCAGCUGUGCUAGGUGGUGUGCCCGUCUCAGAGCGCUGUGUCCUGGAGGGCUUAAAUCUUCGUUCUUCAUGUUUAGUCUGCAAGUUCCGUACUUUGUGAGUAUGCAUUAUGUAUUCAUUAUGUAAUCUGUUAGCAGGACGAAAAGGAAUUUACAUGGAUGGGAUAAUGUGCUACUGACCUAUGAUCGUAGGGCCUGUGCUUGAAGUCGCUGUCCGCCCACUGUCUCUAGGACUGGCGCAGCCCCGCCCCCAGACCAAGCCUGGAAGGAAAUUCGCCUUUGGCUAAGAAUUCAGUCAAGCCCUUGAAGACAGUGAUUUCCGAGUUCCUCAUGGGUCUUCCUGUAAUUAAGGGAGUGGCCGUCUUAAAUGGAGUCACAGGGAGAGGAAGAGUGUGGGAUCUUCUACCAGAGAAAUGACUUGGUCUUGAAAGGAAGUCCAUGAGGUGGGGACAGUCAAGGCAGAGACCUUCUGGCAUGCGCAGCAGUGUGCCUGCCGCCUGAGACUUGCCCACACGCAGAAGCAAAAGCAAGGGCAACUCGUGCACAAGGCAUGUGAAGCCGACUGAAGCUGCGAAGCUUGAACUCUGGUUCUUGUGGCAGGCCUGCCCCUGCACCUGCCACCUGCUCGGGCGUGGGUGGGGACAGCUGCUUCCUGGAGCUGCCGUGCCCUACGGGAUGGAGCUGGGCCAGGAGCUGAGAAGCCACGCGCAGGGGUCAGGCAGGGACGCCGGGACCGAGCUCUCUCUAGCGUGUACCAGAAAUCCGCUUAGCGGAGCCCAGGCUGCCCGUGUCUACACAGUGAGGAACCCAGGCUCCGCGCAGGGGCGCUACUCCCCCUCAGGGCAGCCCGCGCCCUGUUUGUGCUGCCCUGGCUGUGACCAGGUUCUUUCUUUCGCUGAGCCGCACAUUUUCCUCUCUUACCUGGCCCGUUCGUCCUACGUCCUCUUACUCUAGAAUCUCAGAAAUAAGGCUAAUCCCUUUUGUUGGGAUUUUAAAGUUUAAUUUACUUGGGAAUGGCUGCCUGGGUUACUUCUAAUCUUUUAAGCUGUUGCAAGAAAGCAUGAAGCAGUGGCAAGAGAUCCACUUAGUAGAUGCAGUGGACAGAGUGCCCGCUGUGGAGGCAAGUUUUGUCUUAAGAUUUGCGGGUUCCUGCGGCCUGCCAGCGAGGCAGCUCGGCCUGCGCCUGCAGAAUGACCACCGUUACUCUCUCGGGUCUUAAAGGAAGCCGGGCCUCCAGGUGGGCAGGCGUCUGCUGUAAUAACAACAACAACCAGAAUAAUGAAAAGCCAGCUCGCUGCCCUGCUCCCUGCGCCUCCCCACUCCGGAGCGUUUGCCUGACUGGUGGAAUGGGCCCAGGACCUGCCUUUGAGGUCUCGGGUGUGACCUGGUGCUUCCAGCCCCGAGAUGCUCCGCUGGGUCCGCAGAAGGGAGUGGCUGUCCCCGCGGCCACACUGUCCCUCCGCGUGUUCCAUCCUGUGCGGCCCCUACCCGUGUUCUUCAGCAGCCGUUCCUCCCCCGGUUUUUCCUCUUCCUGCAAUGUCAUCCCUCAGCCAUGUGUGGCCACUCCACCAUUCUCUUCAUGUUUUUACAGCUUUCUAAAACAUGCCUUUAUUAUCAUUGUAAUGGGGUCUCUUGGGGGGAAAGAGAGAAAUAGGCACUGUCAGCCAGCCAACUCGAACCAGAAACAGUACAUAACAUGUAUAGUCAGUUGUACAAACUUAAAGAAAUUUGAAAAACAGAGAACAAUAAAAAUCUGUAAUUGUGUUAC
ensembl:lncRNA